UACGAAGGGGGCUAGCGUUGUUCGGAAUUACUGGGCGUAAAGCGUGCGCAGGCGGCUUCUCAAGUCAGGGGUGAAAGCCCAGAGCUCAACUCUGGAAUUGCCUUUGAGACUGAGUGGCUUGAGUACGAGAGAGGUGAGUGGAAUUCCCAGUGUAGAGGUGAAAUUCGUAGAUAUUGGGAAGAACACCAGUGGCGAAGGCGGCUCACUGGACCGUAACUGACGCUCAUGCACGACAGCGUGGGGAUCAAACAGG
rnacentral:rRNA from 1 species